UUUUGUCAAUUUCUCUCAAAA
rnacentral:piRNA from 1 species